rnacentral:lncRNA from 1 species
AUGGCGGAAGAGCACUUAGUUUGCAGCACUUCGACCUCGGCACGCAGUAAUCCCAUCAGGGGAGGACCCCAUGUAUGGCCACUUGGGGUUCAGCCAGAGACCACUGUCUGUAUGGCCACUUGGGGUUCAGCCAGAGACCACUGUCCAUACAGGAGAAGCCUGCAUGCUCCCGAACCAUCAGCUUCUCAUAUGCUCCUCUGGCUUGUGCUUCAUGUUUGCAUCCAUAACUGUACACAGUACACAUGCAACACAUGAAACGGAAAUUAUUACUUUGUAUUGCACGUGUAGAGCAAGUUCAGUGAUUUAAAUGCCAUUAACCUAACCCCUAUACUUAGUUCUAAUCCUGCAUAACCCUAGUCUUAUAACCCUAUAACUAAUGUUGAUCUUUCAGGGCUGUCCAUACCAUGACUCAACUAUGAAAACAGUAAACAUUUGCUCAUAUCCCAAAUCUUACCUUUGCCUUACCCUAAUUCAAACCCUAAAUACCUUGUAGCAGCUGUGGUGAACCUAUAUACUUCUGGGUAGCAUAUGCCCUUGAUCAAGUUCUUGGAUGGUUGCUGGGGGUUGGUCUUAAGAACUUGUUUCAGCUUUAAGGCCGUUACACGUCCUGCUCUUUGCCUAAACCAAACCCUGCUUGCACUCUGACUUCGAGUUGCCCUCUCUACAGCCUGAACCUGAGACAGGGUGAGCUCUUCUAGCUGGAAAUCCUGGCAUAGCUCUCCAAGCUCUUUGGGGGAAGCUGCAGAGUCUCUGGUGUUCUGUAUUCAAGAACAGUUUUAGGAAGCAUGCAAGAUUUGGGGAUGAAUUCUUUGUGGUAAGGCUCCCUAGCCAUCAGUGCUGCACUCCUUGGACAGUUUUAUCCCAAAUCUUACCUUUGCCUUACCCUAAUUCAAACCCUAAAUACCUUGUAGCAGCUGUGGUGAACCUAUAUACUUCUGGGUAGCAUAUGCCCUUGAUCAAGUUCUUGGAUGGUUGCUGGGGUUGGUCUUAAGAACUUGUUUCAGCUUUAAGGCCGUUACACGUCCUGCUCUUUGCCUAAACCAAACCCUGCUUGCACUCUGACUUCGAGUUGCCCUCUCUACAGCCUGAACCUGAGACAGGGUGAGCUCUUCUAGCUGGAAAUCCUGGCAUAGCUCUCCAAGCUCUUUGGGGGAAGCUGCAGAGUCUCUGGUGUUCUGUAUUCAAGAACAGUUUUAGGAAGCAUGCAAGAUUUGGGGAUGAAUUCUUUGUGGUAAGGCUCCCUAGCCAUCAGUGCUGCACUCCUUGGACAGUUUUUGCUUCAUGUCUCAAAAAACCUAGCAUAUGUUUCUGACCCUCUCUUCACUCUUGGGCAUGGAAGUGAUUUCCCAACCUUGUUGUCAGUUGUCCUGCCAAGAACAGUUUUAGGAAGCAUGCAAGAUUUGGGGAUGAAUUCUUUGUGGUAAGGCUCCCUAGCCAUCAGUGCUGCACUCCUUGGACAGUUUUUGCUUCAUGUCUCAAAAACCUAGCAUAUGUUUCUGACCCUCUCUUCACUCUUGGGCAUGGAAGUGAUUUCCCAACCUUGUUGUCAGUUGUCCUGCCAUCAAUGGAACGGUCAAGCUUUGUACUAUCCCUUUAAUUUAUUAACAUCAUAAUUUAGCCUACUGUUAAACAGUGUCCCAAAAUAACAUUCUCUGUCCCACAUUUGGUUUGCUGUGAACGUGUCACCUUACCUUUUUUACAUGUGAUGGCAUCAGCCACUUGCACUGCUCUGUUGUGCAGGAAGCUGAAUCUCGCAUCUUUACCCCAACUUCAAUGGAAAAAAGAACUGCCCCUACAUGAGGACACGAUUCUGAUAGUCUGUGAACAGAAUACAAUAUGACAUUUUUUUUAAACCUCAAAUGCAAUCUGCACAAGUGGCAAAGAGCCAUAUAUAUCAGAACAUUUUGAUGAUGUGCAAUAUAGCCUACUUAUACUAAUAUGGAUGGAGUAGCACUUUACAUUAAUCAACACGUUUAUUCCUUAAAGCUCUCUCUCCGCUGGUUCUGAAGUACACAGUAUGCUAGCAGUACGGUGUGUGUGUGUGUGUGUGUGUGUGUGUGUGACAAUGACUUCUCCAUCCCUCCUUCGCAAUAACUCCAGGUCUUCACUUUACUAUUAAUACAACACGUUUAUUCCUUAAGUACUCUCUCUCCGCUGGUUCUGAAGUACACAGUAUGCUAGCAGUACGGUGUGUGUGUGUGUGUGUGUGUGUGUGUGUGCAAUGACUUCUCCAUCCUCCUUCGCAAUAAUCCAGGUCUUCAGAGGUGUUUCGCUUGACCUCUGAGAGUGUUUACCUUGGAACAAAGACGACUGUCAGACUAACGUCGUCGUUAAGAUGUGUUGCGUUACUGCUAGCAUCUUAGCACAUAAAACAAUAUAAGAACAAACACUCACUCUGGCGAAGACCAAACGAUGAUCAUCGUGGAGCCGUUUGACACCGAGGUUGUGGACCCACCCGUUGACAAAAAAAGUUGUAAGCCUCCAGACUUUUAUAGGCCUUCAUUUGCUGUCUGGUGUAGUACGAUGUCUGAAGGACCAGAUAGCCUCAACUGUCGGUAAAUCUUUCAGUUCUACUGAAAACUCACUCAUCUUCAUGAGGUACGGGUCACGUCCAACAUAUCUGUCAAUUAACUCCUUGUAUCUAUGUCUUGAAACUGGAUCUAAAUCCGUACAAUACUGACUCUCUGCAACGGUUUCCUCUAUAGACGUAUUCUCCAUGUUUACUUCCUGCCCUCCAUCUGCCUUCUUCCCGCCCUCGCGCGUCAUCAUAAUCACGUGACUGAAACCCUGCUCCUAGUCGAAAUGCUGUCGUGUGACGUCAGAAUAAAUUUACUCAGCUCCUCCCCGCCUACUCUACUAACUGCUAACAACAUAAUAAAAGUCUGCUUUUGUUGUCACGGAGAGAAAAGCUACUGGAUGAAGUGCUUCAUGGAUUAUUAAAUAAAUCUGGAUGCAGCAUUGUGUGGUAAAAGGUCUCCAGCGUGCAUGUGUGUAUAGCGCUGUGUUUUAAUUGAAUCGUGUUGCAAAAUAGACCAGAUGCAGUGUGAUGUUCAAUAAAGACAGAAAAUCACAAACUGCUCGUCUGAAUUUAUUUAUUAUAUAUUUAGACAAUGAGAAACAAUUGUUUUUUAUUUUUUUUAUUUUUUUUAAAGAAAGGCAGGCCUAAUUUGCAGAUUUUAUCUUACCAUUCAUUCUGACUUUUUUUCUCAGAAUUGCGAUAGCUAUAUAGACAAUGCGAGAUAAAAAAAAAAAUUAUAACUGUGAGAUAAAAAGUUGCUAUUUCUAUAUUUCUUUAUUAAUUAAUUUAUUAAUUAAUUUCUUUAUUUAGUGGCGGAAACGAGCUUCCAUAAAUAGCCCACAAGGUGGGGGUAUUGUAUUGUAUUUUAGCAAGAGGUCCAUGAUGAUGAUAUUCUGCUGUGUUCAGUGAUGAGCGCCAAUGUAUUCUUUAGGGGGCCACUAUUUGCACUAGGUGUAAAUAGCAUAUUUUCUUAGAGCAAGAGGUCCAUGAUGAUGAUAUUCUGCUGUGUUCAGUGAUGAGCGCCAAUGUAUUCUUUUAUGCAGCGGCUAUUUGCACUAGGUGUAAAUAGCAUAUUUUCUUAGCGAUAGAUGCUAUUUACACUAAGUGAAAAUAGUAAUGGAUUUUUUUUACACUAAGUGAAAAUAGCAGUAUUUUUUUAACGAUGUGCCAUUUACACUAAGUGCAAAUAAUUAUAGAUUAUAUUUACACUAUGUUAAAAUACCAAGAUUUUCUGCUAUUUAUACUACUUAUUUCAAAUAAUGGCAAUUAUCUGCACCUCAGUAUUGUAGUACAUUAUAAAACAGUACACAAUUAUAACUUGGUGAGUGUAAAUGAUCAUUUUAAUUCAAUUUUUUAAAUAGAUGCCACCUUACUGGGACAAUAAAGCCCUCCCUACACCUACCCAAUGUUUAUUUUCAACCUUUUAAUUAUUUCCUUAAUUUUUAUUGAAAAUAAAUGCCUUUCCGGUACGAUAUGAGAUUUGAAAAAGGACAAAAAAUAUUUGGCAAAAGGCGGACGCGAACUCGGGUCGAUUGACGUCAAAAAGCACACACUUUUUAACCACUUAUCCACUACAACUGAUACUGAGUUUGCGUCGUUUAUG